GGGGGUGUGGCUCAGUGGUAGAGCACUUGCCUAGCAUUGUCCAGGGAAGGGUUGGGGACGUGGCUUAGAUCAACUUGCUUAGCAUGCAAGAGGCCUUGGAUUCAAUCCCUAGCAUCCUCC
rnacentral:tRNA from 1 species